GGUUCCAUAGUGUAGCGGUUAGCACGUCUGCUUUACACGUAGAAGGUCCUGGGUUCAUGCCCCAGUGGAGCCA
rnacentral:tRNA from 1 species